UUCAGGUCGCUGCAAAGUCCCGAAGCCGUAACGUUAACUUUACAUGUUACGCACUGGUGGGGAUAAACCAGCCAGUUUAAUAGAGUUAUUAUGUCUCAAACCUUUCCCGCCCUUUAACGUUACGUUAAAAUGGCCCUUAUACGGAUAACGUUACUGUCAGUCAGACCUUUUCCUAGAAACCACUCAAAACCGUUAACAUUGUUCUAUUGGAGUGGUUCGAUAAUUGUAUUUAUUAAUGGUUUCAGUUAUGUUAGUUAUAUCUGUUCUUUAAUUCGUAUUUCUAACAAUUUAAACCCAGAAAUGACAAGCUAUACUUACCAAGAUUUUGACGAUCAAACUGACAGAAAAACUAACUUAAAGCCGACUAUUAAACCAAAAACAUACUAUUACAAAGUGAAGAGGAACGUAAUGUGUAAUAUAUUUAUUAUUUACAGGUUAUUAAUGAUGUUAUUUGCGACAAAAGAAGUUGAGGGUAAUCGAGCAAAUAACGGUCUUCUGGUAAAUAUUGUGGUCACGUGAUGGCCUCGCGACAUAUAAGUCGUUUCCGGUCGUUUCUCAAACGCACAGCUGCGUCCUUUUAAAAUUAUUUUAAAUAUUUUUUUUUAUAAUAAGAAAUACAAGGGGGUACAUUAUACAUAUAUAAAAUAAAAAUAAAUAAGGCUCCGUCUUUUUUUUUUUUAAAUAAGGCUCCGUCCUAGAAGGCUGCAUGUCUCGGCUGCCACGUCAUCAAGCAUCGUCGAAGGACAUCUCAAUCUGCUUGUUUUCUCUUUUGUUGUUUUAAUUUAAUUACAAAAUGUUUAACUGUCCAUGUUGUAAAGACAGUUGAUUACAUAACUUUUAUUUACUGUACUACAUUAUUGGAUUUUUUUUUUGGUGAUGCAUUGCUAAUUUUCAACUUCUCACUUUAAAGUUUUCAUGCCAUGAUCACUGGGGUGGAAACCAUUAUGACGUUGCCUUGGACAUCAAACUAAACCAUCUCAUUCUGGCUUUUUUCUAACAUCGAAAUCUCAGAAGGACAGGACUAAGAUGGACGCAGCCUCCACAUGCAACCUUGCAUUUGAGGAACACCCAUAGAACGGUUAACCUAACCCAGUGUUUCUCAAACUUUUUCUGCCAUUCCCCACUUUGGAGGUAGGGAAGGGUUUCGAGCCCCACCUGUCCUUAAUCGCCCAAACAAAAUGGUAAUCAACUAGGCUUUAAGUUUAACUGUUAAAAUGUAUUUAAUCACAUCAUAUUAUAAACCAUAACAGCAUAAACACUUUCAAAAGAGCAAGAAAUGUGCAAAUGUGUUAUCCCUUUGCAUGAAAUUAGACUUUUUUCAAAUGUAAAAAAUAAUAUUGCAACUGUUUGCAUUUUGAUUCUUACAAAAUUCAUCAUACUUUCUUUUUGGCUGUCUUUUUGGUUUAUUAGGUCCACUGUCUGUCUUGGUUUUCUCUGCUGGUGCUGAAUCCAGUUUUCUUCUCAUUUCGUGUCACAAAACUAUCCAUUAUUAACUUUUAUACCCUCUACCACCUAUACCGCCUCUCUACAUUCAAGUUUUUGAUCAGCUUCAAUUAACAUUCCGACAUUACUGAUGUGUUUCGCGUGACAUUUUCUUCACAGUCUGAUGUUGUUUUAAAUUUCCUCCCGUUUGUCAUGCCCCACUUGUAAUGUUCCCAUUCCCCACUAGUGGGGCCCGCCCCACACUUUGAGAAACUCUGACCUAACCUGAUACUCUAACCUGAAUGCAGGGAUCAUAAAACUUUAUCUUUUACCUUAAUUGUUAGAUGGGUGUCGAUACAAAACUUUUUUUUCUCGUCUACCCAGGAGAAAGUCAUGGGUUCUGCUGCUGAGGUUGUCAUAAAGCAUGCUUUUUCCAUUUGUUGCAUUGGGCAAUAUUAUCAAAAGAUUCUGAAAGAAAUAAGAUUAUUUUCAAAGCAUUAACAUGAAUAUGAAAGCAUUAGGUCAUUAAUGACCAUCUUUUAUUAUUGUUUAUUUACAGUGUCUUUAAUUCUGCUUACCUGACUCAUGCAGAAUUCUGGCUUGAUGUUCGGUCCACCUGUUAGCUGGCUCUGGUGCUUGGUAGUCUUCUCAAACCUCUGAAUCAAGGCCACCAUGAGAGGCCUUCUGAAGACCAUCAUUACGCUUCAGAUCCAGUUGUCUUUACUAUGAGCCUACCACAAUCCCUGUGCACCAGCUAUGGAAAGUGCAGACCAAACUUCUACCUCCACCUAUGGGACUGAACUGGAGUCUGUGAACUAAUGCUGUGUUCGAGACAACUUGGAUGUUGGAUAUUAUUGACCUCAAACCCGUAAGAAGUCUGGAACAGCAAACAAAGUUGAGUAUCGGACCUCUCAACUUGGGACAGAUCGAUCAACACCGACCUCAACGAGAUGCAUCAUUUGACAUUGCAGACAAGUUUGUGGCUAGCCUUUCACAGCCUUACAUGAACCAUCCUUUCUCUUUUUAAUGCAGAACUUAAGGAUGAACCACCCUGAUCUACUAAGAUGCACAGAUUCAACUCUGGCCCAGCAUCAUCCCCACACCUCAUCUGCCAUCAGUUUAAUUUAAUGUCUGUCAAUUGCAAAUGCUAUUUAUUUCAGUUAUAUUACAACUUAAUGUUAACUUUAAUUGAGACUAGUAUUGUGUAAAGCUGGGGUUUCCAAACUUUUCAUUUCAAAACCUAUUAGACAAGUGUAAUCUAUUUUAGACCCACUAAAAUAUUUUUUAAUGGGAUAAAACACAUUUGUUCUCUUUCAGUGGAGUCAUUUUAUUUUCAUAAUAUUCCAUAAUGUAAAGCAGUGGUUCUUAACGUUAUUCCUCGAGGCCCAUUGCUCUGCACAUUUUGUAUGUCUCUUUUAUCUGACAGACUCAGUUCAGUUCAUUGAGAUCUCUUCUAAUGAGCUGAUGAUUUGAAUCAGGUGUGUUAAAUAAGGGAGACAUACAAAAUGUGCAGGGCAGUGGGCCUCCAGGAAUAACGUUAAGAACCACUGAUGUAAAGUAAAUAUAAGUUUAUUUGCAAUACCAAAUAUUUUAUGGUAUAUUCUUUCAAAACCAUUGUCAUUGUUAAUUAUUAAUUUGGCCAAACUGUUGUUGCAUCAAGGUGUGCAAGACACCUUAACCUACUGUGUGACCGACAAGUGGGUCCUCCUGACCCACAGUUUAAAAUCCCCUGGUGUACUGAAUGUUGUAUUGUAAUUAAAGCGCAUCUAAGUCUUG